UUCUGUGCUCUCCGUGACGCCCUCAACAAGCGCAUUUAAGACAAACUGCUUCAACACGAAGUCCACCUUCGACUUUGUCACCGACAAAUCCUUCUCCUCUUCCCUCCUCAACCACCUCCUUCAAACACUGAGGUGUUGGCCGAUCCUCAACAUCCCGCUGAAUCUAAAAGUGGAGCAAAUGAAUCAAUUUUAAAGGUUGCUUUAGACCAUGGCAAGGCUUUCGGCAUUAUAAAGCCGCAUGACCGAGUUGUUGUUUGCCAGAAGGAUGGUGAUUCAUCAGUUGUAAAAAUUAUUGAGCUUGAAGAUUAAUCAGAUCUGAGAUCUCUGUA